UCCCAAUCACAUUGAUUCCCAAUGAGCAGGGAGUGGUAAGUACUUUGGAUUCACUGGAAAACCACAUGUGUUCCAGAAGGUGGUACAUAAACUCUAGUUCUAAUUCCAAGGACUGUAUCAGUUAGGGUCCAGGAAGGAAAAACCACACCAGGCAUUUCAAACAAAAGGAGAUUUUUGGUCCCGUGGCUAGAAGGCUGAAAGAAUGAAGCAGAUGUUGAGGUAACCCAAAAAUGAGCAACUGCAGGAAGGAGCUAGCCCCCCUAGGGCUGGGAGAACAAAAAGGAAGAAUUAGCAUUACUAGCGCCUGGGAACUUGGGCAGAUGGGUCACCAUGGGGCUGGUGCUGAGGACUCUAAGAGGCGCCCUUGGGCCAGUGUUGAAGAGCCUGAGAAGUGGGGAGCUGGAACCUCCUGCACUUGUUGGAGGGGUGCCAUCAUUGCUGAAAUCAGGAAGAGAUGUCCUUUUUUUCUCCUUCCACCGUCUGGUCUUUCCCCAGCACCUCCCACUGGCGGAAUCUAAAAGGAACUCAGGUGGCGAGAGUGUCUGGGAAAUGCAGUUGCAGACGUCUGGGCCCAGCGUUGAGAAGAGUGGGCUUGGCCUGAGCAAGAAUAGGUAAAUAAGGGCACAGCCAUCACCCCAAAGUGUGACCGAAGUGAGAAGAUUGCAUCUGGCUCUUCUCCUGGGAAUGUGCCAGGAGCAGCUGCUUCUGGCUUGGUUGAAACCUUAGAAGUUCUGGGCCUACUCCCAAUGAUGCUGAAAACUCACCAUCCCUGGACUAUCUGGCAGCUUAGGACCUGCUGUGCUCCUGGCCUCCUGGUUCCUAGCGUACAAGAGGGGGAGGAAAGAGCCCAUCUCGGCCAUGCUUUCCCUUCCGAGCCCUCUCUGAGGUCAGUGAGAUACACUCCAAGAAUUAAUGCCUUACACAUAUUGCAAGGACUCUCUUAAUAUAGUGAGUUUACGUUCAGAGAAGGAAACAAAUGAGAACAAAAGACUAUUUUAUUCUCCCUCACUUUUUUGGUAGGAGGCCUUGAUGUGCAGACGUUGAUGGGGCAACGAUAAGACCAAAUAAACAAUUGACAUCUAACCCCAGAAGGAGAGCAAGGACCUGGGACCCAGAAGGAAGAGGCUGUGAGAAACACAAAGUGCAGGCAUGGACAUGAUGUGUACAGAGGACAGGACGGUCAUGCACACAGAGGACAGCCAUGCGCGUAGAGGUCAGCCAUGCGCGUAGAGGACAGCCAUGUGUAUAGAGGACGGCCACACUAAGCUUUGAGGCUUCUGGGGGCAACACAGAGUAACCAUUGGAAUGGAAAUCACUGAACAGACACAGAGAAAGAGAAACCAUCCAAUGACUGGGGGUGACACCAGGUUUGCCUGGUGGCCUGGGGACUCCUGGCUCACUGGUCCCAUGUCUCCCCCAGCCUAUCAGAAUUCAUGAAGGCUGGCCAGGCACAGUGGCCCACGUCUGUAAUCCCAGCACUUUGGGAGGCCGAGGCGGGCGGAUCAUCUGACUUCGAGACCAGCCUGGCCAACAUGGUGAAACCCCGGCUCUACUAAAAAUACAAAAUUAGCUGAGUGUGGUGGCACAUGCCUGUAAUCUCCCAGCUACUCGGGAGGCUGAGGCAGGAGAAUCAUUUGAACCUGGGAGGCUGAGGUGCAGUGAGUGGGGAUCACGCCAUUGCACUCCAGCCUGGGUGACAGAGUGAGACUCUGUCUCCAAAAAAAAAAA
ensembl:lncRNA